rnacentral:rRNA from 1 species
UACGUAGGGUGCGAGCGUUAAUCGGAAUUACUGGGCGUAAAGCGUGCGCAGGCGGCUUUGCAAGACAGAUGUGAAAUCCCCGGGCUCAACCUGGGAACUGCAUUUGUGACUGUAUAGCUAGAGUACGGUAGAGGGGGAUGGAAUUCCGCGUGUAGCAGUGAGAUGCGUAGAUAUGCGGAGGAACACCGAUGGCGAAGGCAAUCCCCUGGACCUGUACUGACGCUCAUGCACGAAAGCGUGGGGAGCAAACAGG